UACAGAGGGGGCAAGCGUUGUUCGGAAUUAUUGGGCGUAAAGGGCGCGUAGGCGGUGCGGUAAGUCACCUGUGAAAUCUCUGGGCUCAACUCAGAGUCUGCAGGCGAAACUGCCGUGCUUGAGUGUGGGAGAGGUGAGUGGAAUUCCCGGUGUAGCGGUGAAAUGCGUAGAUAUCAGGAGGAACACCGGCGGCGAAGGCGGCUUCUGGCUCAGUUACUGACGUUCAGGUACGAAAGCGUGGGUAGCAAACAGG
rnacentral:rRNA from 1 species